ACGAACGCUGGCGGCGUGCUUAACACAUGCAAGUCGAACGGAAAGGCCCUGCUUUUGUGGGGUGCUCGAGUGGCGAACGGGUGAGUAACACGUGAGUAACCUGCCCUUGACUUUGGGAUAACUUCAGGAAACUGGGGCUAAUACCGGAUAGGAGCUCCUGCUGCAUGGUGGGGGUUGGAAAGUUUCGGCGGUUGGGGGUGGACUCGCGGCUUAUCAGCUUGUUGGUGGGGUAGUGGCUUACCAAGGCUUUGACGGGUAGCCGGCCUGAGAGGGUGACCGGCCACAUUGGGACUGAGAUACGGCCCAGACUCCUACGGGAGGCAGCAGUGGGGAAUAUUGCACAAUGGGCGGAAGCCUGAUGCAGCAACGCCGCGUGCGGGAUGACGGCCUUCGGGUUGUAAACCGCUUACGCCUGUGACGAAGCGUGAGUGACGGUAAUGGGUAAAGAAGCACCGGCUAACUACGUG
rnacentral:rRNA from 1 species